CUUGUGGGGGGGGGGUCCCUUAGCUCAGAUUUCAAGAGGGUGCAGGCCAGGCUGAGGGACCCCACUGGUGCACU
rfam:Myotis davidii contig130470, whole genome shotgun sequence.